AAAGUUGCCAAGAUGAAUGCGUCAUGGACGCUGUUCCGGAAGAUGUCAGCGAGAGAAGGUGUGUUUCCGGAAGACGUGGCUGUUGCUGCAGUGGCAGCUGUCAUCCAAAAUUAUUCUGAGAAGAGCUUUUUUGUUCUGCUUCUGUCUCAUCCAGCUACAUUAUCAAGAUGAUUUCUCUAACGGACUCCCAAAAGAUUGGAAUGGGAUUAACAGGCUUCGGCGUGUUUUUCCUCUUCUUCGGGAUGAUCCUGUUCUUUGACAAAGCACUUCUGGCUAUUGGAAAUAUUCUCUUUGUUGCUGGACUCUCCUUUGUCAUCGGCCUUGAGAGGACCUUCCGCUUCUUUUUCCAGAAGCACAAGAUGAAGGCCACCAGUUUCUUCCUGGGAGGAGUGUUUGUGGUGUUGAUUGGCUGGCCCAUUAUUGGAGUUUUGCUCGAGAUCUAUGGUUUUUUUCUCUUGUUCAGGGGCUUCUUUCCAGUGGUUGUAGGCUUUAUCAGGAGAAUACCAGUCCUUGGCUCCAUCCUAAACCUGCCCUUUAUCAGUGCAGAAGCUUGAGUACCCGGAGAGAACCUGCAAAUCCCACCCAGAAUGGCCCCAGUGGAUUUUAACAUAUGCGGACAAAGUGGGCGAGAGCAACACUAUGGUAUAACAGUGACUUUUUGUAACCAGAGAAAGUUGUUUGAUUAUAGGUUUUAUAAAGCAUCACAAUCUCCCAUGGUGCUGAGUGAAAGCGCCUAAAUAUACAGAUCAGAUUCAGAUUUCCACAUUCAAGCAGACAAGGACUGUUUUUGUCUGUAACUUCAGUGGUCAGCACUACCAAUCACAGAUUCAUCACUGUAUCGCACCAUCAGUUUCUUACUGUCAACACUAAAGUCUCUACAAUAAAUGUUUCAAAUGCCAUCGAUCCCUUCGCCAUUGACUGCAUCUUGCGUUUAAAAGGAGGAUAGAAGACUCCCUCAAGGCCCGACUUUAUCUACAUGAUGUUCUUAAUCUGUGGAACUGUCAGAUAAAACUACCCAGUGCAAGGACAAGAAGUGGAAGUGCAUCCUGCCAUGUUUGCCACGUUUGUGCCUGUGCUUUAACUUAAUUUGCACAAAAGCUUUUAAAUCCAGGAUUUUGUUUACAGUUACACCCCCGUUUCAGCUGUUGGAAUAUUUACUUUGUCCAUUUCUUUGUGAUUGUGUUCAGUGUUGGCUAGAAGUGUUUCUGUAUAAAUUAUUUUUUAAAUAUGAUCGCUUGACUUUAUCUGUUAUGAGUGGCAGUCUGUCUACUCGUUCGUUGGGAUAGACACAGUUCUCGAGUUAAGUGUUCAAAGACAAUGUUCAUGCAACACAAAAGUUAAGGACACAUUGGAUCUUGAUGAAUUAAUAUUCAAAUUGAAAAUCCUUACUGACGCACAAAAUAGUUUUAUACCAAAAUCAUAUACUGUUUGAGAGCUAGGAUUUAAAAUGACAACAAAAGUUUAAAUUAUUUUCUGCCUUUUUUUUGAGCAUUACAUUUAUGAUUUACUUGUUUUUUGUUUUUUAAAUAACCGGUAGUAGGAAAUGUUGUUGUUUGAACAGAAGAUGACAUGCUACUAACUAUAGGCAUCAGAUCUGUGAUAUUAGAUGUUGCUAAAUAAAUAAGAGAAAGCUACAAAGCCAAACAGGAUUAUUAUCAAUAAAAACUUCUGUGUGGAACUGAAAAAAUACUAUUACAAAAUAAAAAAGGAAACAACUUUCCCCAGCUGGGCCAGAUAAAGCUAAGGCACCACAAGUGUGGCACAACUAUGUGCAUUUUUUUUUGACAGUGUUGUGGAGGGUCUUCAAAGAGUACUCAAAUAUUUUGCAGUAAAUAUUGAAUAAUAUUUUUGCCAUCCGUAUUACUUUUUAUAAUCUUUUCCUGUUUGCUUCCACCAAAGGGGACAGCAUGUGGAAUAGGCUCAAGCCCCCAAAACACUGAGUUGGAUAAGCGAGUAGGUUUGUAAAAUUCUUUCGCCUGUGAGGCUUUUUCAGUGUUUUCAGUGUUGACAUGACAGUGAUCAAAAAAAGCAACACUUGAAUCUAUUCUAAGGUUUUUGGGCCUCAUUCACUAAUAUGUGUGAACAAAUAUUCUUAGCUGAAAUAGGUGUGCACAAAAAGUUACUCUCAUGUUUAUGAGAUGUGCACAUAAGAAUCAUUCAACAGCCCAUGCCCGCAGUCAGUAUACUCAUUUAUCUAAGGUAACACUUUAGAUAACUAACAGCUCUAAAGCUUAACCUAGACUAAAA